rnacentral:rRNA from 1 species
ACGUAAUAGAUACCCGGGUAGUCCACGCCGUAAACGAUGAUAACUAGCUGUCAGGGGCCAUGGGCUUUUGGUGGCGCAGCUAAACGCAUUAAGUUAUCCGCCUGGGGAGUACGGCCGCAAGGUUAAAACUCAAAGAAAUUGACGGGGGCCUGCACAAGCGGUGGAGCAUGUGGUUUAAAUUCGAAGCAACGCGCAGAACCUUACCAGCGUUUGACAUCCUGAUCGCGGAUUAGAGAGAUCUUUUCCUUCAGUUCGGCUGGAUCAGUGACAGGUGCUGCAUGGCUGUCGUCAGCUCGUGUCGUGAGAUGUUUGGGUUAAGUCCCGCAACGAGCGCAACCCUCGUCUUUAGUUGCCAUCAUUUAGUUGGGCACUCUAAAGAAACCGCCGGUGAUAAGCCGGAGGAAGGUGGGGAUGACGUCAAGUCCUCAUGGCCCUUACGCGCUGGGCUACACACGUGCUACAAUGGCGGUGACAACGGGCUGCUACCUCGCGAGGGGAAGCUAAUCCCAAAAA